CAGUCGCCGCGGUAAUACGUAGGGUGCGAGCGUUAAUCGGAAUUACUGGGCGUAAAGCGUGCGCAGGCGGUUGUGUAAGACAGGUGUGAAAUCCCCGGGCUUAACCUGGGAACUGCGCUUGUGACUGCACAGCUAGAGUACGGCAGAGGGGGGUGGAAUUCCACGUGUAGCAGUGAAAUGCGUAGAGAUGUGGAGGAACACCGAUGGCGAAGGCAGCCCCCUGGGCCAACACUGACACUGAGGCACGAGAGCGUGGGGAGCAAACAGGAUUAGAUACCCGGGUAGUCCCUGUCUCUUAUAC
rnacentral:rRNA from 1 species